AUCGAACGCUGGCGGCAUGCCUUACACAUGCAAGUCGAACGGCAGCACGGGUGCUUGCCCCUGGUGGCGAGUGGCGAACGGGUGAGUAAUACAUCGGAACAUGUCCUGUAGUGGGGGAUAGCCCGGCGAAAGCCGGAUUAAUACCGCAUACGAUCUACGGAUGAAAGCGGGGGACCUUCGGGCCUCGCGCUAUAGGGUUGGCCGAUGGCUGAUUAGCUAGUUGGUGGGGUAAAGGCCUACCAAGGCGACGAUCAGUAGCUGGUCUGAGAGGACGACCAGCCACACUGGGACUGAGACACGGCCCAGACUCCUACGGGAGGCAGCAGUGGGGAAUUUUGGACAAUGGGCGAAAGCCUGAUCCAGCAAUGCCGCGUGUGUGAAGAAGGCCUUCGGGUUGUAAAGCACUUUUGUCCGGAAAGAAAUCCUUGGCCCUAAUACGGUCGGGGGAUGACGGUACCGGAAGAAUAAGCACCGGCUAACUACGUG
rnacentral:rRNA from 1 species